rnacentral:rRNA from 1 species
CCGCGGUAUAUUGACCGUGCUAAGGUAGCAUAAUCAUUAGUUUUUUAAUUGAAAGCUGGAAUGAAGGGCUGAAUGAAAAAAAAACUGUCUCUAAUUAAUUAUUUUAGAAUUUUAUUUUUAAGUUAAAAAGCUUAAAUUUUAUUAAAAGACGAGAAGACCCUAUAGAGUUUAAUAAUUUUAUACUAUAAAAAAUUUGGAAUUAAUAUUUUUAUUUUUAUAUAAUUAUUUGAUUGGGGUGAUUAAAAAAUUUAAUAAACUUUUUUAUUUAUUUAUAUUAAUUAAUAAAUAAUUGAUCCAAAAAUUUUGAUUAUAAGAUAAAAUUACCUUAGGGAUAACAGCGUAAUUUUAUUUGAGAGUU